GUAUAAGAGACAGCAGCCGCCACGGUAAUACCGAGGGUGCGAGCGUUAAUCGGAUUUACUGGGCGUAAAGCGUGCGUAGGCGGCUUCUUAAGUCGGAUGUGAAAUCCCUGAGCUUAACUUAGGAAUUGCAUUCGAUACUGGGAAGCUAGAGUAUGGGAGAGGAUGGUAGAAUUCCAGGUGUAGCGGUGAAAUGAGUAGAGAUCUGGAGGAAUACCGAUGGCGAAGGCAGCCAUCUGGCCUAAUACUGACGCUGAGGUACGAAAGCAUGGGGAGCAAACAGGAUUAGAUACCCCCGUAGUCCCUGUCUCUUAUAC
rnacentral:rRNA from 1 species